GACGUCUCCCGGGUGUCAGGCUGGCCCGCUCGGGAGGCGCGGCGGCAGGUGCUGGCCGCGCACGGCGGGCGGCACCUCUCGGCCUCCGAGCGGCGCGCGCUCCCAGAGCGCCCCCUGUCGCCCGAGCGCUGUCACUACAGCUCCUUCCCUCGAGCCGACAGGUCGGGGCGCCCCUUCCUCCCGCUCUUCCCGGAGCCCCCGGAGCAGGAGGACCUGCCGCUACUCGGGCCGGAGCAGCUGGCUCGGCGGGAGGCCCUGCUGCGCGCGGCCUGGGCCCGGGGCCCACGCCCGCGCCACGCUUCCCUGCCCAGCUCGGUGGCCGAGGCCUUCGCCUGGCCCAGGUCGCUGCCCGCGGGGUGUGGCCGCCCGGCCUGCGGGCGCUUGGUGCAGGUGCCAUCCAUGUGGCUGCCGUCCUACCAGGAGGCCUGCCAGGAGGGCGUGUGGGCGAGGGUCCCCGCCUGGCCACACAGACAGCACACUUGCCUGCACGCCCACGCCCACCUGCCGCUUUGCUGGGGGGCUGUCUGCCCCCCUCUGCCCCCCUGUGCCAGCCACGGUCCCUGGCUCACUGGGGCCUGGGGGCGUCCGGGGCACAGGGGCAGGAUCCUGGGUCUGAGCACAGGCUACAGGGACAGUGCGGGGCUGGAAGAGGUCAGCAGGGUGGCCUGCGGGUCACAUGGCUUCCCUGGACCUUGUACCUGGAGGCGGAUCUCCAGCUUGGAGUCAGAAGUGUGAGGGCUCAGCGACUCUGGUUCCUGGUCAGCUGGAUUCUCUGCCUGGCGCUGUCAGGGUUAGUGGGGGCAGGUGACUUGGGCUUUUCUGGCUUUUGCCUUGAAAUCCUGGCUGUGGGACCCCAAUGACAGACGUCUUCCAUGGUCAGUUCGGUGACCUCGGCAGUCUCAGGUCUCGGCGUGGGCUGGGUGGGCUCUUGCUGUCCUCUUAUGCAAAGUCCUUCCCACCUGUCCUGGAGUCACCGGGAGUAGUGCAGUCUCCCUGCCCUGCCGUUAGCUAGAUUUCAGUCAUGACUGCUGGGGGCCUGGUGUGGGAGCAUAGAGGCUGGAACUCGGGGUUGGGGCAGGGCUGUCCCGCUCCUUGGUCUCCCUGUCUGGAGUUUCUUCUCAAAGCACUGGGGCAUUAAACAAAUCUUUUACAACCCA
rnacentral:lncRNA from 1 species